rnacentral:rRNA from 1 species
UACGGAGGGUGCAAGCGUUAUCCGGAUUCGCUGGGUUUAAAGGGUGCGUAGGUGGGCAGGUAAGUCAGUGGUGAAAUCUCCGGGCUUAACCCGGAAACUGCCAUUGAUACUAUCUGUCUUGAAUACCGUGGAGGUGAGCGGAAUAUGUCAUGUAGCGGUGAAAUGCUUAGAUAUGACAUAGAACACCAAUUGCGAAGGCAGCUCACUACACGAAUAUUGACACUGAGGCACGAAAGCGUGGGGAUCAAACAGG